UACGGAGGGGGCUAGCGUUGUUCGGAAUUACUGGGCGUAAAGCGCACGUAGGCGGCUUUGCAAGUUAGAGGUGAAAGCCCAGGGCUCAACCCUGGAAUUGCCUUUAAAACUGCAUCGCUAGAAUUGUGGAGAGGUAAGUGGAAUUCCGAGUGUAGAGGUGAAAUUCGUAGAUAUUCGCAAGAACACCAGUGGCGAAGGCGGCUCACUGGCCCGAUACUGACGCUGAGGCACGAAAGCGUGGGGAGCAAACAGG
rnacentral:rRNA from 1 species